AUUUAAGCACUAAUUUAUAGUUUUCUUUUGUUUUUGUUUUUUAAAGAUUCAUUUAUUUAUUAUAUGUAAGUACACUGUAGCUGUCUUCAGACACCUCAGAAGAGGGCAUCAGAUCUCAUUAUGGAUGGUUGUGAGCCACCAUGUGGUUGCUGGGAUUUGAACUCUGGACCUCUGGAGGAGCACUCAGUGCUCUUAACUGCUGAGCCAUUUCUCCAGCCCUGUUUUUUGUUCUUUUGAGACAGGGUUUCUCUGUGUAGCACUGGCUGUCCUGGAACUCACCUUGUAGACUAGGCUGGCCUCAAAGUCAGAGAUCUGCCUGCCUUUGCUUUCCAAGUGCUGGGAUUAAAGGCUACCACUGCCUGGCUUCUUUGUUUUCAAUAUUUUUAUAAACACAAUUUGUCUAUGAUAUGUAUGUAUAUUGAAAAAUAUAUUUUAACUACUGUUGUAGUGCUGUGAAGAGGCACCAUGACCAAAGCAACUCAUAAAAGAGCAUUUAUUUGAGGGCUUGUUUACAGCUUAGGUUAGGGGAUAGACAGACAUGUACUUAACCAUGUAACUUCUUACAGAGCUCUUGAAUACAAUUUGCAGCACCCACAUGGUUGUAACUUUAAUUUUUUCAAACCUUAUUUUUAAUAAUAGGUCUCCUUUCCUUUCUUUCUUUCUUUCUUUCUUUCUUUCUUUCUUUCUUUCUUUCUUUCUUUCUUUCUUUCUUUCUUUCGGUUUUUCAAGACAGGGUUUCUCUGUGUAGCCUUGGCUGUCCUGGAACUCACUCUGUAGACCAGGCUGGCCUCGAACUCAGAAAUCUGCCUGCCUCCCAAGUGAUGGGAUUAAAGGUGUGUACCACCACUGCCCGGCAUUAAUGAUGGUUCUUAAACACUUUAACCUCCCUGGUAGCCCACCACCCACCAGAGAUAGUGGAAAAGAAAGGAUAUGGAGGUGGGGGUGGGGGUGAGGGAAGUAGACCUGUUUAGAAAGGUUCUUUGGAACUCACAAACACUUCACAGAUUCACCAGCAGUCCAGUUCAGUAGAGUCGGGUUAGCAGUAGCAGUGACAUGACUUAGCAGAGACAGCUAGGCCUCAGCCUUGGUUUGAGUCAGCAGGAGGAACCAGCAGGAACUCCAGGAGAAAGAAGUUCUCAGCUGUGUCUCUUUCUGGGAAGCGAAGAUCAGUGAGGACCUACAAGCGUUGCACAGCUAGCUGUGCCAGCAAGCCAAGUUCCGUCUCCAUCCCUUUGUGGAGUCCUAUUUAUACCCUCCAAACAUCACGUUUCUUCCACGUGCCUUCUUUCAGCGCAGGCCUUGCCUCAGCACACGCAUCCAAUCAGCCCCAGAUCAGGGAGUCCUAACAAACGCAGCUCAACUAUGCCAUGUAGGGUGGACCAAUACAUGCGUGUUGUUAGCAAAGAAUCCUUCAUCACCUGUCCUUUCAUGUGCUUGCUUUAGCGGAACAUGUCUCUCCUGUGUCUGCUUCAGUGGAAACGGUCCUUCAAGAGUUUACCUUAGCCUUUCACACCUGUGUCCACUUUAACAAAAUGUACCUUCAUGUUUUGCCCCAGCAAAACAUCACUCAGCUGAUUUCCCAAAGAACCCUUAUGUUUCCACUUCACAUGGUAGCUCACAACUAUCCAUAACUCUAAUUCCAGAGGAUCUGAUGUCCUUUUCUGACCUCACAGGUACUAGGUAAGAUACAAGGUACACAUGUGAUACACAUACAUACAUGCAGAUACUACCUCCCAUGACACAUAUGUGCACAGGUCCGUCCAUCCAUCCAUCAAUCCAUCCAUCCAUCUAUGCUGUCGACAGUUGGCUGCUCUUUUGCUUGCUUGCUUGUUUUCAGGGUUCUUCAGCCCACCAUCAGUUUCUGUAGUAUAGCAUCAUUUGCUGAGCACCCAGACCAGCCCUUCCCACUCUGGUACUCCAACAUUUGUUGGAGAUACAGUUUUUGACUUGUCUUCAGCUGGAGGCAUAAUUCGGGGGUAGAGCCUGGUAUGUGUUAAGCCUGGGUUCCAUCUACAGAAUCAGGAAAAAGAUGGCGAAUCAGGCUGAGUGGCCUGAUUAAAUGCAUCCAGGAACCAGCCACUGAAGAAGGCAAGCAAGCAAUCGUCCCUCUGGGGUUUGAUACAGAACUAUUUCAUAAUGACGUCCUCAGGGAGCAAAACCGUGAGGACACUAACAGCCCGGGGCCCUCCAGUCACCCUGAAGAGUAAGGAUUCUAGGUCAUUUUUAUUAAUAUCCUAUUCUAUUAAUACUCUGUACAUUUGCACAUACAGUUAAUCUUUGGACUUCACUUUCACAUUUUAGAGCAUCCUUCUCGCCUGUGGACCAGAUAAACAGGUCAGCGGGUCAACUCUUGAAUAGUAAGCAGAUCAAAGCUGUGGACCUAAUUAAAUGCAAAGGGUGCCACUGUGCCUGUCAUUUCUAGGACUUCGUUUGUGUGGGAUUGCCAUGCCAUGGUGGUACGAUAAAGGACAAGUUUCUGGGGUCUUUGACUGUCCAGGAGGCACCAAAAUGGCUUAGAGCAGUAGUUCUCACCCUUUAAUACAGUUCUUCAUGUUGUGGUGACCCUCAGCCAUACAGUUAUUUUCAUUGCUACUUCAUAACUGUAAUUUUGCUACUGUUAUGGACUGUAAUGUAAAUAUAUGAUGUACAAGUUAUCUGAUAUGUGACCUCUGUGAAAGAGUCAUUCGCCCCCAAAGUGGGUGAGACUCACAGGUUGAAAAACCACUGGCUUAGGCCCUGAUUUAUUUCCCUCCCUGAACUUUAAUGUCUGAUCAUAAGACAUUAAAGUGUUUGUUGGAAUAGACUGGACUCAUGCCGGACUCAUAAGUAGCUGAGGAGACACAAGAUAGGUAGAGAGACUGGUAAAGGGCAUGCAGAGGCAGCUGAUGUAUUCCUCAAGGAUGUACCAUAGAUGCAGAGGCACAGCAAAGGUAAGAAGGAGAUGAUUACAAGUAAGGAUUAGCACAGAGCUCAGGAGUGGGUCAAAGGGCUGUAUGCCCUCAAAUUGUAGGUCUAGGGACAUAGGUUACAUCAGAAGGAAGAGUGUGCUCUGCCGUAGGUAUUCACCGGGAAUUUAUUAAAGCUUUUGUGGUUUUUCCUUCAUUAAUAAUUAAUUUUUUUAGCCAGGCCUGGUGAUAUAUACAUGUAAUCCCAGCUACACAGGAGGCUGAGGCAGGAGAAUGGAAACUUCAAGGCCUGUAGGCUUCCGAGUGAGUUCAAGGCCAGCCUGGGCAAUUUAACAGGAUUGUCUCCAAAUAAAAAGUGAAAAACAGUGCUUGCCUUUAACCCCAGCACCUAGGAGGUAGGAGGGACGGGGUCUGUGGGUUCAAGGCAAGUCUGGUUUUCAUACAGAUUCCAGAAUAGUCAGGACUAUAGAGAGAGGCCCUGUCUCAAAACCAAAAAAAUGCUGGUAGUGUCAGUCAGUAGUAUAGUCCUUGCUUACCACGUGCAAGGGUCCUGGGUGCCCUUGUCUGUCUGUCUGUCUGUCUGUCUCUCACACACAUAUUCACACUUUUUUUUUUUUUAAAUUCUGAGGAUGAUACCCAGUUCUUCGCACACACUAGUAAGUACUCUGUCACUGAGAUCUCUGAUGCUUGAGCUCUGCCCAGUGUGGAACACAGUCUCCCUCUGGCUGGCUGCCAAUCAAGAUGUAGAACUCUCAGCUCCUCCAGCAUCCUGUCUGCCUGAACACUGCCAUGUUUCCUGCCAUGAUAAUGGCUUGAACCUCUGAAACUGUAAGCCAGCCCCAGUGAAAUGUUUUCCUUUAUAAGAGUUGCCUUGGUCAUGGUGUCUCUUCACAGCAAUAAAACCCUAACUAAGACAAGAAUCGAAGACACCAUUACAGGGACUCUACAUUGAAUGGCCCUUCCUUAGGGGUGGUCUUCUCCCUCCCAACAAAUCCCUCCAGCUCUGUUUUCUGAGGGACUCUGUAAGCCUCUUAGAUUCUUCUCAUGGAUUUCUAAUUGUUGCCUCUAAUCUAAGCUCUCUCUCUCUCUUUUUUUUCUCGAGACAGGGUUUCUCUGUGUUCAUAGGUUCAGAAGGCACAGCAAUUUCCUGUAUACUCCCUGAACAUCGUCUUCUUCCAUGAAAAGCCCUACCAAGAGUGACUAGUCAUUUCAACUGAUAGUCCCACAUUGAUACCUAAUUAUCACCCAGGCUAAAGUUUGCAUUAGGGAACAUUGUGGUGUUGUGUGUUUGGGCUUGUUUAUUAUGGUAUCUAUCCAUAUCAUAGCAUAUUUUCAUGGCUAUGUUUUGCCUAUUUGUCCCCCACUUCUCCCAAUCUCUGGCAAUUGCUGGUCUUUUUUUCUUUCUUUUUUUUAAAGAUUUAUUUAUUAUUAUACAUAAGUACACUGUAGCUGUCUUCAGAUGUGCCAGAAGAGGGCAUCAGAUUUCAUUACGGGUGGUUGUGAGCCACCACCAUGUGGUUGCUGGGAUUUGAACUCAGGACCUUUGGAAGAGCAGUCAGUGCUCUUACCCACCAAGCCAUCUCUCCAACCCCUGCUGGUCUUUUUUUCUGUCUCCAGAUUUUUGUCUUUUUAAAGAAUGCUAUUUACUUGAAAUCAUACAGGUACCCUUUCAGAUUGGCUUCUUUUGGUGAGUAAAACCCUUCUAAGUUUCCCCUAUAUUUUCCUCUCUCUGAGACAGGGUCUCACUAUUUAGUUCUGGUGGCCUGGAACUCACUAUGUAAACCAGGCUGACUUCAAACUCACAGAGAUCCACCUGCCUCUGUUCAUACUCAUGACCCAUGGGAGUUGCGGGACACCAAGCAGGUGAUGGCUUAGAGCAUUCCUUGUAGGACACAGCUGAUUUUCCUCAUGAGUCAGGUUUUGGGCUGCAAGGGUCUGGAGAGAGUAGGGGGCAUGCAACCUGUCUGGGUUGUAGGAGAUAAGUGGGCUGGGUCACUAGAGGGAGCCUGGUGCCUCCCUUAGCCUGAGCUGGAUUUUUCAAAAUGUAUUUUGAGUGCUUUUUGAUUAUGUGUCUCUGUGUGGGCAUGUGCAUGUGACUGUAGGUACCAGUUGAGGCCAGAGGCAUCUGUGAGCCACCUAAUGGAUUUGGGGAACACCUUCCUCCUGCCUUGGGUAUGGGAGGUGGGUGGUCAUAUUCUCUCGCUACUACCCCAAACCUACUUUUGUUUGUAAGUCUUCAACCAAUUCUAUUCAGACAAGGUUGGCCAGACCACUGGAAUGUGCACAGGCUUUCUCAGAAACAAUGCGUUCAAGGGCAGAUAAGUGACAGAGUGGCAUUCUCAGAGGCACAAAUGCUUCGUUGGCAAUUGUUUUCUUUUAAAGCUUUUAAAGUUAGGUUUAUUCAUCCAAGUUUAUGUGAGUGUUUUGCCUACAUGUCUGUAUGUGCACUGUAUACUUACUUGGUGUCCACAGAGGUCCGAGUACAGGAUGGGUGUGAGCCAUUGUGAAGGUAGUGGAAGUUGAACCAUGUGCUCUUGAUGGCUGAGCUAUCUUUCUAGCCCCUUAGAUGGCGAUCUUAAUGACUUAGUAUAUUCUAUAGGGCUCAGAGCAUGUGCAUUUGAGAGACAUUCUCACUCCUAUUUGGUCUCCUAUGGGCUGAAUGAACUUGGACUCAACUCCUGAUCCCACAAGCCUCAGGGUGGCUUAUGCAUCCGAAUUCACAGAUGCUUGAGAAACAGAAGGAUGAUUUGAGGCCAAGAUAGUUAUGGCCUGCAUGGGCACAUUUUUGUUCAACAUCGAAACCUCUCUACUAUCUGAAUAUAUUCUACUGCAGGAACUCUGCUGUGGGUGGCAAAUGACGCUGGUUUUUAUUGUAUUUUGUUUUUUGCUUUUGUUUGUUUGAUUUUUGUUUUUGUUUCUUUUUGUUUUGUUUUCCAGUAAAAUAUGGGUUGCGGGAAGACUACUUCUCCUGCUGUCAACAUUUCUUAGUUAAUUGUAGUUCUUUAUAUCAGUGUGGGACCCUGUGAGAUUUCACCUCCAUGUAGUAGAACAUCCACUACUGUUGUCCUUGUUACAAAACCAGAUUACUGGAGUAUCACGGGUGAAAUUGGUGAUUUCACAUCAUUCUUUAAAAUUAUUACAUUUAUUUAUUUAUCAUUCAUGUGCUUGAAUUUACCUGCAUAUUUGUAUGUGUAUGUACGUUUGCCUGAUGUUUAUAGAGAUCAGAAGAGAUGUUGGAUCUCCUGGAACUGGAGUUAUGGAUGGCUGUGAACCACAAUGUGGAUUCUGGGAACUGAACCUAAGUGUUAUGCAAGAGCAACAAGUGCUCUUACCUGCUGAGCCAUGUCUCUAGCCCCAGGGAACAGCUGGGGUCAGAUCUCCCUUUCCAUCUCCUGGGACCAAACUUAGGUCAUUAGGCUUGGUGGCAAAUGCCUUUACCUGCUAAGCCAUCUCAGUAGCCUGACACCUCCAUCUCUUAAAAAAUAAGUACAGUGUAAGUGAUAGAGCUGUUCCUUUAAAGAGAUUUACUGACUACCUCCCGUGUGUGCCAGGCCUUAUUCCAGAUGUCUGGCUGUGCCCAUGAACCUCUCAUUCUGGACAGCUGUGCCUCACCAGUUCUUGAGAGAAUCCGGAGACAAUACACAAACUGUGCACACAGCCCAGCCUGGCCCCACUGCUUUCUCAUCAUUCUCUUCUCUCUAGUGUCUGCCAUGACAACAAAAAUAAACAUGUUCUCAUAAAGGAGGGAGCCUUUAUGUGUAUCCUUGAACUUAUUGGCAAGAGGUUGAACCUUUGGAAUAAAGACAGAGGGGAAAGGCUGGGGAAGGAAGGGCCUCGGAAUACACAAUCACAGGGGGUUAAGUCAGCCAUGAAAUUAGCAAGGGGUUCGUCUGACUUCCUUCCAUUCAGAUCUCUGUGUCUGGGCUUCACAUCGGCUGAGAUAAAUGUCUCCCAUGGGGGUUGCCCCAUGUCUUCAAGGGAAGGAUUCUUUCUUGGAGUCACUAUUGACAAUGCUAAACAGAAUACAGGAUUCUGCUGCAGAGCCAGCCCUAAUGCCCUCUGCCCCUCCCUGCACCAGAGGCACACUCUCUCCUCCAGAUCAAGAACCUAGAUCAACUCUUCUACAAAGCACCAAGCACAGCCUGGCCUCCCCCAGUUGCUCCUGUGAAAGAGCCUGAGGACAAGGGACAGAACUCUUUAAGUGGCCCUGUCUCGCCCCCACCUAUUGCACUUGUCCCUGAUCAUUGUGUCCAGCCGCAGCCUUGGACUAGAAAGCAGGCUCCUAGUUCAUGUCCAAAUAGCACCCUCAGCUUCCACCUUCCCCAAUGGGCACCUGAACAAUCUCAUCUGUAUCUAACAGCCCAGAAGAGGAGGCCAGCAACUGAAUUUGUUGAAAACAGCCAAGAAGCCCACUUCCAUCAGCUAACUCUUUGGAGGUCUCCAGAUGUGCUGAUUAUCUUCCUCUUGCUAGAGGGUGAUGGAGUCAUAGGGUCUGAGCCUCCUGGCCUGACAUCCCAGCAUCUUUUCCUCACCACCCCUGCACUGCAUCAUCCCCAGAUCAUGGUCUUUCUCCUCCCACUCCCGAAGGUCUUAUCGCCCUGACUCUGCUGCACCUUGGGGCUUAGAUGCUUUCUCUCCCCCUCUCUGUCUCUGUUUCUGUCCCUGGCUCUGUCCCUGGCCCUGUUCCUCUCUUCCUCCCCUUCCCUCCCUCCUCCCCUCUCAUUUUUUUGAGACAAGGUUUCUUCUGCUCUCUGUAGCUGACUCUGUAGACCAGGCUGACCUCAAAUCUGCCUGCCUCUGCUGGGAUUAAAAGCCCCCAACCCCACCUUGGGCUUGUGUUUUCUUUUUGUUGUUGUUGUUUUUUUUUAAAGAUUUAUUUAUUUAUUAUUUAUGAGUACACUGCAGCUGUCUUCAGACACACCAGAAAAGGACAUCAGAUCCCCAUUACAGAUGGUUGUGAGCCACCAUGUGGUUGCUGGGAAUUGAACUCAGGACCUCUGGAAGAGCAGCAGUCAGUGCUCUUAACCGCUGAGCCAUCUCUCCAGCCCCGGGCUUGCAUUUUCUAAUUGCUCUCAUGGAAGCACAAUAUGCAUUCCAUCCUUUAAGCAGAGGUGGAAGGAGUUUUGUACUCACACAAUUCAGCCAAGGCUUGCUGAUGGAACAAAUGCCCUGCUCUUCAGCAGCUUCUGGCCUGCAGGAAUGAUCUCUGCCCACAUGUCCAUGUCUCAGGAGACUGGAACAGUCUCAGCUCUGCGCAAGUCUGCAGUAUCAGAGGCUCAAGGUGGAGAUGCAGGCCACACCCAGGGCCAACGGGGCUUGUGGGAAAGGUUGGAGACCAAUGGGUGACAUCACCUUAUUUCUUCACAUUCUGCUCAGAGGAGGAAGAGGCCAUCUUGUGUCUUUGGCCAAAGUAACCUUAUCAUCGCCGUCUGUGUGGGUACGAUGUUGAUCCUGAUAGGGAGGGGCUGCUAGGGGAAUGGCAGCAACACAGAUCUACUGUGUACUUCAGAGCAGGGCAUUCUUGGAUAAAAAAAAAAAAUCACCCAUUAUGAAGGCUUAGACACAGCUCAGGGACCAGGGGAGCACUCAUCCAUUCCUGAGUAGUUGGAAGCGAAGUGAUCUGGCCACUUCAUAGUAAUCAACGCUCCUUUUGGGGAUAUCACAGAGCCGUUAUCUCUGGAGGCUCUCAGAGACCCUGGGUCCAUCAAGAAGGUAGGGUGACUUCAGUGGGGGUAGAGGAAGGUCUGAUGCAAGAUCAUGAGCAGAAGGGGACUACAACAGUUCUAAUCAAGUCCCUGUAACACAGCUUGGGGCUCAUCCCAUGGCCCCGAUAGCAUCACUUCCUGACUACGCAGGGAGAAGUGUGCUGGGCCCUCAGGAUGUCAUAGGGGAUGGCAAACACUUUUCAUGUGUCUCAGGGUAGCCGCAGGUCUUAAGUUCAAGCCCUGCCUCUGCAAUUCAUGACUUUCUGUCCCUGAGGAUCUGACUCAUCUGAGCUUCUGUGACAUUGGGGUGACCUGCCUUCAUCACACAACGGGGGGGGGGGCAAGAAGGCUCUUCCUGACCCCCGGAUUCUCUACACAUUGGACAUCGGGUCCUGACUGAACGUUUCACACUCGUGUUUCAGGAAGGAACAUGCAGCUCUCCACAGCUAUGUGGAGAGUCCUUCUUUGACCUAAGAACCUCGGCAUUUCCCUCGGCAGACCCCCCGCCCCCCAGAGGACAGUGAGGAAGCAAGAGUGCUAAGAAGCCUUGGGAAUAUUCUGCUGACCCUUCCUGGUCCCACAGAGGCCAGGAAAGCACAGCAUCUGGCCCUCCUGAGGGGUGGGAAGAGUCAGGAGACCCCAGGGUAGGCUCCACAGUGGAGCCUUACUCCACGCCCCUGCACGCAGCAUCGUGUGCAAAGACCCGGACACCAAUGUCUCAGAGUUAGGAAGUAAGCAUCAGGCUGGGUGUGGUAGCUGGGUCAAGAGGGUCAUGGGUUCAAGACCAGGUCAGGCUGCACUGUGAGACCCUGCUUUGAAAUGCAAUAAAAUUACCCCCCCCACACACACACACAACACAAUCAAGCAAAGAUAUAAAAUAGGCACCUCCCAUCCCCCAUGCCCCGCACCCACCC
rnacentral:lncRNA from 1 species